UUUGCCUGGCGGCCAUAGCGCCGUGGAACCACCUGAUCCCAUGCCGAACUCAGAAGUGAAACGCGGUAGCGCCGAUGGUAGUGUGGCAUUCGCCAUGCGAGAGUAGGACACUGCCAGGCA
rnacentral:rRNA from 3 species